UACAAUUAGUAUCAUCUCCAAUUCUCUAAAAAUACAGGUUUCCUUUUCAAAGUUCUAGCCUAUCUAGCAUGGAAUGGCACUAAUUACCAUUCACAUACUUUCUAACAUGUAUCUAAUGGUUGACUUUGGGUCAUUUGUCUUGCAGGAUGCUUAACCCUUUCUGGUCAUGCAUCACAGAGUUGCCAAUUUUAUGUAUUCCUGGAGGUUCCAUCACAUGUCAUAAUGUCAUAAUCAUGUCAGAGGCCAGAGAUCAAAGGUAGUAUCAGGCUGGAGUCAGGAGGCAAGAGUCAAGGUCAGAGUCAGGCUGCGAUUGGAGAGCAGGAGACGAGGCAAAGUCUGGAGUCACAACAGGCUGUCAGGACACUUCAAACAAACAAAUUAUAGACACAAUGUAUAUAUGCAUGGUGGUGGGAGAAAAGUUUGAAUGACAUGAGUUUGGGAUGAUCUUGCAAGUGACAAAGAAGGUGUUAGGUCCUGCCCACCACAAAGGCCAACUGAGACCAAAUGAGCCAUUGUGAAACAUCGAAGAAUAAAGACGGUGAUUGCUCCCCCCCCAAUGCCCAUGAAGCGGAGAUGUGCAGGUGGAUUCAUCCCAUCAGCUUGAUCGCUGAGAGAAAGGAAUAAAAAUCCCCAACAAGAAGGAACUUUGCCACUGUGUUGCUUGAACUCUGAAGGGUGACGAUUCUUAAACAGAAGCAAGAGAUCCUCAGCUGUUUUGCCUUGGUGAACCCUAGAGGAUUUAUAGAACUUGCACAUUACAGCAGCUUAUAUUACCUUUUGGAACCUAAGACUGUAACUCACUUG